rnacentral:rRNA from 1 species
GACGAACGCUGGCGGCGUGCCUAAUACAUGCAAGUAGAACGCUGAAGCUUGGUGCUUGCACCGAGCGGAUGAGUUGCGAACGGGUGAGUAACGCGUAGGUAACCUGCCUGGUAGCGGGGGAUAACUAUUGGAAACGAUAGCUAAUACCGCAUAAUAGUAGAUGUUGCAUGACAUUUGCUUAAAAGGUGCAAUUGCAUCACUACCAGAUGGACUUGCGUUGUAUUAGCUAGUUGGUGAGGUAACGGCUCACCAAGGCAACGAUACAUAGCCGACCUGAGAGGGUGAUCGGCCACACUGGGACUGAGACACGGCCCAGACUCCUACGGGAGGCAGCAGUAGGGAAUCUUCGGCAAUGGACGGAAGGCUGACCGAGCAACGCCGCGUGAGUGAAGAAGGGUUUCGGAUCGUAAAGAUCUGUUGUAAGAGAAGAACGAGUGUGAGAGUGGAAAGUUCACACUGUGACGGUAUCUUACCAGAAAGGGACGGCUAACUACGUG